CCUACGGGUGGCAGCAGUGAGGAAUAUUGGUCAAUGGGCGUAAGCCUGAACCAGCCAAGUCGCGUGAGGGAUGAAGGUUCUAUGGAUCGUAAACUUCUUUUAUAAGGGAAUAAAGUGCGGGUCGUGACCCGUUGUGAAUGUACCUUAUGAAUAAGGAUCGGCUAACUCCGUGCCAGCAGCCGCGGUAAUACGGAGGAUCCGAGCGUUAUCCGGAUUUAUUGGGUUUAACGGGUGCGUAGGCGGCAUGUUAAGUCAGCGGUGAAAGUCUGUGGCUCAACCAGAGAAUUGCCGUUGAAACUGGGAGGUUUGAGUAUGUUUGAGGAAGGCGGAAUGCGUGGUGUAGGGGUGAAAUGCUUAGAUA
rnacentral:rRNA from 1 species